UACGAAGGGGGCUAGCGUUGUUCGGAUUUACUGGGCGUAAAGCGCACGUAGGCGGAUCGUUAAGUUAGGGGUGAAAUCCCUCGGCUUAACCGGGGAACUGCGUCUGAUACUGGAUGGCUUGAGUUUGGGAGAGGGACGCGGAAUUCCAGGUGUAGCGGUGAAAUGCGUAGAUAUCGGUAGGAACACCAGUGGCGAAGGCGGUCUCCUGGGGCAUUCUUGACGCUGAGGCGCGAAAGCUGGGGGAGCAAACGGG
rnacentral:rRNA from 1 species